rnacentral:rRNA from 2 species
GCAUAUCAAUAAGCGGAGGAAAAGAAACCAACAGGGAUUGCCUCAGUAACGGCGAGUGAAGCGGCAAAAGCUCAAAUUUGAAAUCUGGCCCUUUCAGGGUCCGAGUUGUAAUUUGCAGAGGAUGCUUCGGGAGCGGCGGCGGUUUAAGUCCCCUGGAACGGGGCGUCAUAGAGGGUGAGAAUCCCGUCUUGGACCGCAUGCCCGUGACCGUGUGAAGCUCCUUCGACGAGUCGAGUUGUUUGGGAAUGCAGCUCAAAAUGGGUGGUAAAUUUCAUCUAAAGCUAAAUACUGGCUGGAGACCGAUAGCGCACAAGUAGAGUGAUCGAAAGGUUAAAAGCACCUUGAAAAGGGAGUUAAAUAGCACGUGAAAUUGUUGAAAGGGAAGCGCUUGCAACCAGACUCGACCGCAGAGGCUCAGUGGGCACGUGUGCCCAUGCACUCCUCUGCGGGCGGGCCAGCAUCAGUUCUGACGGCCGGUCAAAGGCUCCUGGAAUGUAUCCUCCCCCGGGAGGUCUUAUAGCCAGGGGUGCAAUGCGGCCUGUCGGGACUGAGGAACGCGCUUCGGCACGGAUGCUGGCGUAAUGGUUGUAAGCGACCCGUCUUGAAACACGGACC